GACGAACGCUGGCGGCGUGCUUAACACAUGCAAGUCGACCGAUGAAGCUGAAGCUUGCUCCGGUGGAUUAGUGGCGAACGGGUGAGUAACACGUGAGCAAUCUGCCCUUCACUCUGGAAUAACUGCGGGAAACUGUAGCUAAUACCGGAUAAGAGACCCUGCGGCAUCCAAGGGUCUGGAAAGAAUUUCGGUGAAGGAUGAGCUCGCGGCCUAUCAGCUAGGUGGUGAGGUAAUGGCUCACCAAGGCGACGACGGGUAGCCGGCCGGAGAGGGUGACCGGCCACACUGGGACUGAGACACGGCCCAGACUCCGACGGGAGGCAGCAGUGGGGAAUAUUGCACAAGGGGCGAAAGCCUGAUGCAGCAACGCCGCGUGAGGGAUGAAGGCCUUCGGGUUGUAAACCUCUUUUAGUAGGGAAGAAGCGCAAGUGACGGUACCUACAGAAAAAGCACCGGCUAACUACGUGCCAGCAGCCGCCGCGG
rnacentral:rRNA from 1 species